GGCCAUAUUUGACAUUUGUUUACAUUUAGGGAAAUUUCUGAAGAACAGGUACCUAUAUAAUAUAAUACAUUAUAAUAUCAUUAAUUAAUCGCAUUAGUCCGCUAACAAAAAUGAGUCACAGUAGUUGUUGUGUUGUAAACUGCAAGAAUACUGGCAGAAAUAGUAAAUGCAAGUUUUACCGAUUCCCAAGAGCUACUUGGAAACUUGAACAAUGCAAGAAAUGGAUAGCUGCCGUCAAGAGAAUUGAUGCUGAUGGAUUGCCAUGGUACCCAAGACCAAAUGAUUUAAUAUGCAGUGCUCAUUUUAUUGGUGGCAAGAAAUCAGACGAGUCAGCCAGUCCCAGUUAUAUACCGACGAUAUUUCCUUCAAUCUAUCGUUCAAAAAUACCAAAUGAAUCAGCAGCUAUAUCCCGGUACCAACGUUUAAUGAAAAAGAGAAAGAAGAAUGAAUUAUUUAACACCAUACCAACCAACCAAAAAUUUAUUCACUCAUCUGAAACAUUUCAUCAAGUAGACAUGACUUUAAAAUGUGAUCAGGAAUGUCAAGUUGAUAUAUUUUCGAAAUUUAACAAUGCAGGAAAUACAUUUACAUGUAAUAGAUAUAUUUAUAACCAAGUAUGUGAUGCUGAAAUACAAACAGAAAUAGACAACUCUACUAUUUAUAUUAAAAAUUACAAAAAAGUGAAGGACAACGAAUGUAAUACCCCUCAAAAAACAUAUAUAGAUAUGACAACUUCAACCGAAAAAUCAGAUUUUACUGGGUUUUCAUCGAUCUGUAAUGAUCUCGCAACUUAUGGAUCUCGCAGGAGUGACAUUCAACAACUUUCGAUUAUUAUUAAAAACAUUAAUAACAAUCAGUCACAAAUACAGUAUUUCCAAAGAAGAUAGACUCUUUGUUCUUUUAAUAAAAGUUAAAACUGACAUGACAUUUUCGGCUCUAAGCGUCUUGUUUGGUGUUCACAGAACAACAAUCUCAAGGAUUUUCUAGACAACUUUAGAAAAUGUAGCUAAAUCAACAGCUAAUUUUGUUUUUUGGCUAAAUAAAGAUACUGUUCAAGCCACAAUGCCAGACUGUUUCCGUCCAAAAUACAGUAAUACAAGAGUGAUAGAUUUGCACUGAGUUCAGGAUAGAAGUUCCGGCUUCAGUAGAUAAUCGUGUAUAUUGUUAUUCACAUUACAAGAAGGGAUUUACUGCUAAGUUGCUCAUAGGUAUUACUCCUGGAGGCUUCAUUUCUUUUAAGUCUAAAGUGGCUGGUGGAAGAAAAAGUGAUUCGCAAAUGACGAUAGAAUCCGGAUUGAUUGAUUAUUUGGAUGAUGGCGACAUUGUUUUAGCCGCUUGGUUUUAUUAAUCUAUAAAAAAAAACAGUUAUAGAUGGAAGUGGAAAAGAGGUGAAGAUUGUUAUGCCUCCCUUUCUCAAAAAUAAGAAGGAAUUUUCUACAGAAGAGACUCAAGAAACAUAUAAUAUUGCCAGUGUAAGAACUCGUGUCGAAAGGAUAAUGCAAAGAUUAAGAGCAUACCAAAUUUUGAACAAAAUUCCUGAAAAUUUAUUUUACUGCAUUAAUGACAUUGUACAUAAUAUCUGCUGUGUAUUGGUAAAUUUACAGCCCCCGAUAUUUAAAAAAAAGAAUGUGUCUCUGUGAA